UGCGCAGGCGGCCAUGUGUGUCAGGUGUGAAAUCCCGGGGCUUAACCCCGGAACUGCGCCUGAAACUACAUGGCUAGAGUAUUGGAGAGGGUAGCGGAAUUCACGGUGUAGCAGUGAAAUGCGUAGAUAUCGUGAGGAACACCAGAGGCGAAGGCGGCUACCUGGACAAUAACUGACGCUCAGGCACGAAAGCGUGGGGAGCAAAAGGGAUUAGAUACCCCUGUAGUCCACGCCCUAAACGGUGCACACUAGGUCUUGGCGGAUUCGACCCCACCAGGGCCCAAGCUAACGCGUUAAGUGUGCCGCCUGAGGACUACGGCCGCAAGGCUAAA
rnacentral:rRNA from 1 species